rnacentral:rRNA from 1 species
AGAGUUUGAUCAUGGCUCAGAAUCAACGCUGGCGGCGUGCCUCAGACAUGCAAGUCGAACGAUUAAAGCUCCCUUCGGGAGUGCAUAAAGUGGCGCACGGGUGAGUAACACGUAAGUAAUCUACCCUCGAGUGGGGAAUAGCAUCGGGAAACCGAUGCUAAUACCGCAUAAUGCAGCGGCACCGCAAGGUGACAGUUGUUAAAGGAGCAAUUCGCUUGAGGAGGAGCUUGCGGCAGAUUAGCUAGUUGGUAAGGUAACGGCUUACCAAGGCUACGAUCUGUAUCCGGUCUAAGAGGACGGUCGGACACACUGACACUGAAUAACGGGUCAGACUCCUACGGGAGGCAGCAGUCGGGAAUUUUGGGCAAUGGGCGAAAGCCUGACCCAGCAACGCCGCGUGAAGGAUGAAGUAUUUCGGUAUGUAAACUUCGAAAGAAUGGGAAGAAUAAUGACGGUACCAUUUAUAAGCUCCGGCUAACUACGUGCCAGCAGCCGCGGUAAUAC